AAUAGAUACCCUGGUAGUCCACGCCGUAAACGAUGGAUACUAGCUGUUUGAGCGCAAGUUUGAGUGGCUAAGCGAAAGUGAUAAGUAUCCCACCUGGGGAGUACGGGCGCAAGCCUGAAACUCAAAGGAAUUGACGGGGGCCCGCACAAGCGGUGGAGCAUGUGGUUUAAUUCGAUGAUACGCGAGGAACCUUACCAGGGCUUAAAUGUAGAUUGACGUAUUUGGAAACAGAUAUUUCUUCGGACAAUUUACAAGGUGCUGCAUGGUUGUCGUCAGCUCGUGCCGUGAGGUGUCAGGUUAAGUCCUAUAACGAGCGCAACCCCUGUUGUUAGUUGCCAGCGAGUAAUGUCGGGAACUCUAGCAAGACUGCCAGUGUAAACUGUGAGGAAGGUGGGGAUGACGUCAAAUCAUCACGGCCCUUACGUCCUGGGCCACACACGUGCUACAAUGGCCGGUACAGAGAGCAGCCACUUAGCGAUAAGGAGCGAAUCUAUAAAGCCGGUCACAGUUCGGA
rnacentral:rRNA from 1 species